rnacentral:rRNA from 1 species
UACGGAGGGUGCAAGCGUUAUCCGGAUUCACUGGGUUUAAAGGGUGCGUAGGCGGGUUGGUAAGUCCGUGGUGAAAUCUCCGAGCUUAACUCGGAAACUGCCGUGGAUACUAUCAAUCUUGAAUAUCGUGGAGGUAAGCGGAAUAUGUCAUGUAGCGGUGAAAUGCUUAGAUAUGACAUAGAACACCAAUUGCGAAGGCAGCUUACUACACAGUUAUUGACGCUGAGGCACGAAAGCGUGGGGAUCAAACAGG